UACGAAGGGGGCUAGCGUUGUUCGGAUUUACUGGGCGUAAAGCGCCCGUAGGCGGAUCUUUAAGUCAGGGGUGAAAUCCCGAGGCUCAACCUCGGAACUGCCUUUGAUACUGGGGAUCUCGAGUCCGGGAGAGGUGAGUGGAACUGCGAGUGUAGAGGUGAAAUUCGUAGAUAUUCGCAAGAACACCAGUGGCGAAGGCGGCUCACUGGCCCGGUACUGACUCUGAGGUGCGAAAGCGUGGGGAGCAAACAGG
rnacentral:rRNA from 1 species